UCUCUUCACCAGACCUCACGGAGCAUCAAACCUCGGAGUGAUGGCUGCAACAAGCAGCACUCGGCUAGCCCAGGUAAACAUCCAUCGGGCCAAAGCAGCAUCUGCUGUCUUGGCGAGGAUGUUCACCUCCCAACACCUCGGGCUAGCCCUUGUACAGGAGCCAUGGUGGCACCAUGGCAUAAAAGGCCUGUACACGAAGGACACUAAGAGUUCAUGAGCAGAGACUGCGUCGCCGUAACCAUCAACGGCACAGAAGCUGCACCGAAGCUAGCAGUGGCCUCCGCCUACUUUGCCGGGGAGGAGGCCUGUCCACCGCCAGGAAUACCCGGGCUAGUGGACCACUGCCGGACGAACAAGAUCCCCCUCAUCAUAGGAUGUGAUGCCAACGCACAUCACGUGAUCUGGGGUAGCACGGAUGUCAACAACAGAGG